rnacentral:rRNA from 1 species
CUGGCUCAGGACGAACGCUGGCGGCGUGCUUAACACAUGCAAGUCGAACGGAGAACUUUCUUCGGAAUGUUCUUAGUGGCG